rnacentral:lncRNA from 1 species
AUGAUGCUCAUUCAGUGCUGCAGAUUGGGAGCUGAAAGUUUCAUCAAUAAAUAUGACUCUGAUGGCUUCAUGUCAGCGGUCAAGGUGUCACAGCAUGAGCAAAGAAUUGGGAGUGCGGAGAGGACCUGGAGAUCACCUGAUCUGACCUUUUGUAUGGAGGCGGAAUCAGGAUGCUGGCAUGCCUGCCUGCCUUGUCCUUCACAGGGCUACCUGCACUGGAGGCUGGUUCUCACACUGCUUACACACCUAAAACUGGAAGAAACCUCUAUCUUGAAGAAAACUUUCUGCUUGAAUGAAUUCUGAUUUGUGGAAUGAAGUCUUCCACUGCACUUGAGAGGCUCAGGAUUGAUGGCUCCUGGUAUCUCUCCUUGCCUGGGGAUCACAAAGACUCCUCCUCUCCCCGCAUCCUGGGCAGAAGUGCAGAUGCUUUGUUUCAAUGACAGGCACCUUCCCACCUAAGCUAGAUCCGUUACUGGAUUUGCAGGUUGCUGAAUCCUGAACUCAUGGCAUCAGUUUCAUGUCCAAGUGGCAACUUCCAGUGAUUUCUCCUCCCCAUUUAUGAAUGCACAGAUAAAGGAUGCAGAGCACUAAAGGUUUACAACCUUCUGCCUCUCAUCUGGGACACGUUCAGCUCUGUGUCUGCUCAGGAAAACUGAGACCUAAGAACUUAAUUCAAGAUGUGAUCUCCCAGGCUGAAAGAAGAAAUGUCACCCAGCCUCUCCAUUGUAAUGCCACCUUUGAAGUGCUUCUUCUCUGUUGCUGUUCUUUGAUCAGGAGUGAACAACUGAGUGAAGCAUCAUUUUUAUUCCUAGGCAAUAUGUUUUUAUUUGUCUGAGGGAUUACUCCAGAAUGGCUCUACUUCCUCCAGAGAAAUGACAUUUUAUUUGUUGACCUAAGUGGGAGUGAAU